rnacentral:lncRNA from 1 species
CGAUCCUUGAUCAACUCUUGAUCCCAUCGCCAUCAACCGCUUAGAUCACCUUUCAUCUCAUGCCUUUGCUUCAACUUGAUCGUUGAUGUACAUCACAUCACAGAAAUACAACCAGAUGUAAAAUAAAAAUAAAAAUAAAUUACAUCUCCUUUUAGGAGGCACGCAGGCCUCUCAAAACAUCAAAUAAGAUGCAUGCAAACAUCUGAAAAAUUACAUGACAUCGCAGAUCACAUCGCAGGUCAUUACAUUUGAUACCAAAAGGGGUUGAAUCCUAUGAUCAUCACCGUAUGCAACAAUUAUAAUUUUUAGAUCUGAAAACUAACUGAUUGUAUCAUGACAUAGGUCGCUGAUCAUGCUAAUCAUGAUUCUAAACUUUGUAAUCCCAUUAACAAUGCAUUUAGAAUCAUCUUUUUAUCACAUAAAAAUCAGCAUCAAAAAAUCAGCACCCCUGAAAAAUCUGCAUGCAGAAUUUUUCAGCAUGCAUGAUCAUUCAAUUUUCAGAUCUAAUAUGCCUUUAGAUAUUUAAUUCUUACCUUAAUCUACGAAGCCUAGGCUCUGAUACCACUG